AAUGGCCACUGUUAUCCUGAGCAACUCGACUUCUACUUUCACGUACAUAGUUGCUCUCUUUGGUCCACUGCAUUCUCGACUCUUUGUAGGUGGUUGUAGUGUCCAGAUAUGUAGAAGUGGUAUAAGUUCCUGAACCCAAAUAACGCUUCUCAUCUCUUCUUCGAAGAUUAAGAACUACACCGGAAGGAAGCUGUCUCCA
rnacentral:lncRNA from 1 species